AAUGAAGAUGGUGGGUGGGGAUUACACAUAGAAGGCAAGAGCGAUAUGUUCUGCACCGCACUGAACUACAUAUGCUUGCGUAUUCUUGGAGAAGGUCCAGAUGGAGGACCAGGACAGGCGUGCAAGUCUGCUCGGCAAUGGAUUCUUGAUCAUGGUGGUGUGACUUACGUUCCUUCUUGGGGGACAUCUUGGCUUUGUAUGCUCGGAGUCUAUGAGUGGAGUGGAACUAUCCCCAUGCCUCCAGAGAUGUGGCUUCUACCUUCUUUUCUUCCAAUACAUCUUGGGAAAACUACAUGCUUCUGCCGACUGGUUUAUCUGUACAUGUCCUACUUUUAUGGGAAGAGGUUUGUUGGUCCGAUAACGCCUCUUGUUCUGCAACUGCGGGAAGAACUCUACUCACAGGCUUAUGAAGAUAUCAAUUGGAACACAGCACGGCGCGCAAAGAAAGACAUGUAUGACCCUCAUCCUUCUAUUCAAGAUUUGGUAUGCGACAGUCUUCAUGUUCUCGUUGAGCCUCUCCUUUCACGUUGGCCAUUGAACAAGCUUGUGAGAGAAAGGGCUCUUAGGUUUGUGAUAGAGUACAUACAUUAUGAAGAUGAAAAUAGCCGGUAUAUCAACCUUGGAUGUGUUGGGAAGGCAAUGUCCAUGCUUGCUUGCUGGAAUGAAGAUCCAAAGGGGGAAUAUUUCAAGAAGCAUCUCGCUAGGAUUCCAGAUUACUUAUGGAUUGCAGAAGAUGGGAUGAAAGUGCAGACUUUUGGAAGUCAAGUAUGGGACACAUCAUUUGCCAUUCAAGCUUUACUUGCUAGUGAUCUAUCUAGUGAAAUAUCUGAUGUACUCAUGAAAGGACAUGAUUUCAUCAAGAGAUCUCAGAUUAGAGAAAACUCUUCUGGGGAUUACAAGAAGCUGCACCGGCACAUUUCCAAAGGAGGAUGGACCUUUUCUGAUAGAGAUCAGGGAUGGCAAGUUUCAGAUUGUACAGCCGAAGCAUUCAAAUGUUGUCUUCUGCUCUCCAUGAUGCCACCUGAGGUUGUUGGCCCAAAAAUGGAUCCUGAGCAUCUAUAUGAUUCUGUGAACCUCCUACUCUCAUAUCAGAGUGAAAAUGGAGGUAUGACAGCAUGGGAGCCUGCACGUGGAUAUGGAUGGUUAGAAUUGUUCAACCCUACAGAGAUUAUGGCUGAUAUUGUAAUAGAGCGUGAGUACGUUGAAUGUACUUCACCGGUUAUCCAAGCAUUGGUUCUAUUCAAGAGACUAUACCCAGAUCACAGGACUAGAGAGAUUGAUAGAACCAUUGAAAAGGCGGUGCAGUUCAUAGAAAACACACAAGAGGCAGAUGGUUCAUGGUACGGAAGCUGGGGAGUUUGUUAUACACAUGCAACAUGGUUUGCUCUGGGAGGCUUGGCAGUAACUGGUAAAACGUAUGACAACUGUUUGGCUAUGCGUGAAGGUGUUAACUUCCUUCUCAAGAAACAAAACAGCAAUGGAGGUUGGGGAGAAAGCUAUCUGUCUUGCUCUGAAAAGAGAUACAUAGAAUUAGAAGGAGGAAGAUCAAACCUGGUGCAAACCGCAUGGGCAUUGAUGGGUCUGAUUCAAGCAGGGCAGGCCGAGAGAGAUCCAUUGCCUCUUCACCGAGCUGCGAAGCUAAUCAUCAACUCGCAGUUGGAGAACGGAGACUACCCUCAGCAGGAAACGACAGGAGUGUUCAUGAAGAAUUGUCUUGUAAACCCUGGCACCUACAGGACCAUCUUCCCGUUAUGGGCACUUGCAGAGUACCGUAAAGUUACUUAGUCUUUUGCACUUGCACCUAUUGAAGAUUUUUAGUUCUACCCAUUCCAUGACACAGUCCAUGUCAUGUGAGAAAAAAUCAAAGAAUCUGUCGUCUGAACUACUGACAUACAAAUCAGAUAGGUGACGCGAGUUACACAAAAGAAGCUUAAAAGAUCCAGCACUGUUAAAACUAGCCGAGACAGAUAAUGUGGCGUCAAUUGGGAGAUGGAGACCGAGCUAAAAGGACAAAUUUUGUUUUUCUUAUAUAUAAUUUUUAUUACAUUAUGCUUUGCGGGGAGGCGGUGAGCCGCUGCUGCUGCUGUUACUGUUACUGCUGCUUCUUUUUCCUCUCAGUGGCCUACACAUUACGUAACAACAAACCCCAUUCUCUGUCAUUAGACUUUCAUAGCUUUUACAUUAUAUAUGUCAUAUGAACCAAUAUUUCAUCAGUCUCA